AACGAACGCUGGCGGCAUGCCUAACACAUGCAAGUCGAACGAGACCUUCGGGUCUAGUGGCGCACGGGUGCGUAACGCGUGGGAACCUGCACUUAGGUUCGGAAUAACUCCCCGAGAGGGGUGCUAAUACCGGAUAAUGCCUUAGGACCAAUGAUUUAUCGCCGUUGGAUGGGCCCGCGUUGGAUUAGCUAGUUGGUAGGGUAAAAGCCUACCAAGGCGACGAUCCAUAGCUGGUCGGAGAGGAUGAUCAGCCACACUGGGACUGAGACACGGCCCAGACUCCUACGGGAGGGAGCAGUGUGGAAUAUUGGACAAUGGGCGAAAGCCUGAUCCAGCAAUGCCGCGGGAGUGAUGAAGGCCUUAGGGUUGUAAAGCUCGCUUACCCGGGAUGAUAAUGACAGUACCGGGAGAAUAAGCGCCGGCUAACUCCGUG
rnacentral:rRNA from 1 species